AUACGUAGGGGGCGAGCGUUAUCCGGAAUCAUUGGGCGUAAAGGGAGCGUAGGCGGCCUGUUAAGUCUGGUGUGAAAGUCCUGUUUUCAAGAUGGGAAUUGCUUUGGAUACUGAUGGGCUUGAGUGUAGGAGAGGUUAUCGGAAUUCCAGGUGUAGCGGUGAAAUGCGUAGAGAUCGGGAGGAACACCAGUGGCGAAGGCGGGUAACUGGACUGCAACUGACGCUGAGGCGCGAAAGUGUGGGGAGCAAACAGGAUUAGAUACCCUGGUAGUCCACACUGUAAACGAUGAAUGCUAGGUGUAAGAGGUAUCGACCCCUUUUGUGCCGGAGUUAACACAAUAAGCAUUCCGCCUGGGGAGUACGGCCGCAAGGUUGAAACUCAAAUGAAUUGACGGGG
rnacentral:rRNA from 1 species